rnacentral:rRNA from 1 species
CUGUGGGCUGCUAAAGCCACUAAAAUGGGAUAUUCUUGGAUAGUGGGUAAUGGCAAUAGCAUUAGAUUUUGGGAAGAUCAAUGGAUUGGGCAUACCACCCUUGCUACCCAGUAUUGGGAGUUAUACAGUAUUGCCAAUGAUCAUGAUGCUUCCAUUAGUGAAGUAUGGGAUGGCACUAACCUGAAAAUU